GGACUACACGGGUUUCUAAUCCCGUUUGCUCCCCUAGCUUUCGCGCCUCAGCGUUAGAAAAGGUCCAGUCUGUCGCUUUCGCCACCGGCGUUCCUUCUGAUAUCAACGCAUUUCACCGCUCCACCAGAAGUUCCACAGACCCCUACCUCCCUCGAGCCGGGCAGUAUCCAAGGCACUUCUACAGUUAAGCUGCAGGAUUUCACCCCGGACUUGCCCGACCGCCUACGCGCCCUUUAAGCCCAGUGAUUCCGAACAACGUUCGCACGGUUCGUCUUACCGCGGCUGCUGGCAC
rnacentral:misc_RNA from 1 species